GUAUUGAUACAAUGACAUUAUCAUAGGCAUUCGACAGAUCUAGGAAGGCUGAAAGCACAAAUUUAUUUACAGAAAAAGCUAAUCUUAUAUCCGAAGUAUAUAUACCUAUAUUGUCGUACGUGCUUUUAUUUCGCCGAAAACCAAACUGGGACGAAGAAAGAAGAGAGUUACUUUCUACGAACCACUCAAGGCGAUUUUUAACUAAAUGUUCAAUUAUUUUUAAAAGGACUGAUGAAAGAGCUAUGGGGCGAUAUGAGGAUGGGAGGAGAGGAUCCUUGUUUGUUUUUAAUAUAGGGAUAAUAAGUUGACAUUUCCAUUCUGAUGGGAUAUUGCCAGACUGAAAAAUAAUGUUUAUUAUUUUUAGGUAUAUUGUCAAACUAUUGUCAUUAAGAUGGGAAAUAAAUGAGUAAUAUAUACCAUCAGGUCCAGGGGCAGAGUCUGAGACAUAAGAUAAUACAUUUUUUAAUUCCGUUUUGCUAAAGGAAGAAUUUAAUCCUGGAGAUUCGUCGUGUUCGUCUGCUAUGCUAUUUUUGUCUAAUAGGUUAAUAUUUAUGUUAACUGUUGGAGGAGCAAGUUUAUCAAGAAAAUCAUUUGCUAUACUACUGGGGAGUGAUACAGAAUGGGUUGUAUUAUAUGCUGACUUGAAUCUUCUUAUCUUUUUCCAUACAUCUGAUGGAGGAGUAUGAGGAGAUAAGGAGGAGCAGAAAUUUCUCCAACCAUCACAUUUUUUUCUUUUGAAAACCUGUUUUCUUUUUUUUAUAGCUUCCGUACAAUCUUUAUCCCACCAAGGUGGACUAGGAAUAUGAGAAGGUUCAUUUUUCACUGGGAAGAUUUCAUUAGCACUUUCAAUCAAGACAUCCGUGAAAACAGGAGCAUCAAUAAGUGCAUCAUUAGACAAUAAUUGUAGCAAUUUUGUAUCUACUUUAUUACUAAAUUGCUCCCAUGUUUCUGAUGUAACAUUAUUAAGAUUAUAUCUAGGGAGCAGUUUUAUGUUCUGUUUUGGUACAUUUACAUUAUUAAAAGCACAAGAAGUGAUUACAGGAAAAUGAUCACUUCCAUAGGUUGAACUUAAUACAGAACAAGUUAAUUGUGGCACAAACUGUGGUGAACAAAUAGUUAGGUCCACCACGCUUUUACCUUCAAAAGGCAGAGUCCGCCUUGUAGGCUCUCCAGAAUUUAUAAUACACAAAUUAUUUACAUCAAGAAUAUCUAAAAGCUUAUUACCAUAACUGUUACUAACUGAACUACCCCAGGACUGAUGCUGGCAGUUAAAAUCCCCUGUUAUUAUUAAUGGCUUUGGAAGUGAUACUAAAAUAUUAUUUAUUUCGUUUAAAAUAUUAUUAGAAAUAUGAGAAAUAUAUACAGACACAAAACAUAUGUUAUGUACACUUAUAGCUAAAAUAGAAAGUUCAGAACUAUGUACAGGAAUAUUAAUUAAACUAAAAGGAAGGUUUUUCUCAAUGAGAAAGGCUACUCCGCCAAAACCAUCUAGUCUAUCUUCUCUGAUGGUAUUGUAAUUUCGAAACCUAAGAUUAUUACUUGGCCUAAGCCAAGUUUCUGAAAUACUAAAUAAAAAAGGUUUAUAAUUAUUUAAUAAAUAAA